UGAGGAAUAUUGGACAAUGGGCGGGAGCCUGAUCCAGCCAUGCCGCGUGCAGGAUGACGGCCCUAUGGGUUGUAAACUGCUUUUAUACGGGAAGAAACGCACCUACGUG
rnacentral:rRNA from 1 species